CCUACCUUCCUCUCUUGGAUCACAGAGAGGCCUUGACUUCUGGAAGCCGUUUCUAGUGAGAUACCCCAUCGCCAGGCUGAACGCCUGCCAGGAGGAGGCCCACCUGGUGUUAACCGGUGACUGACAGAGACAGAGACAGAGACAGAGAUGAUGGGAAGGUAGAGAUCAGGAGAUGAUGGAUGGCAAGAGGGGCUCUAGAAACUCUCCUGACGACGUCAUGUUGGGGCAGGGGGAGUGCCCAGAGAGGCAGGAGGCAGGCGGCACACUGUGCAGCCUCGAUGGAACAGAAGGUCCAGACCCACGGGCUGUGCCGUGAGACACAAGCCAGGAAGCAGCCGUGCGGAUUCAGGGUCGGUGCGGCCCCAGCGGAGGGCGUCCCCCACCCACUGCGGGGAAUCUGGGGUCUGGGGUCAGAGCCACCCUCCCCAGAAGAGCACUUCUCUUUCUCUGUGAGAGCAACCAGCCUGGAUUCCCAGAGAAGCAGGAGGAAAAUGUGGAGACGCUCUCUGUGCAAACUCACCUACGGAAAGACCCCAGCUCCUGCCAUGUCCUGCCUCCCACAUAGUGACCCGUGUUCAGGUGAUGUUGCCCUGCAUGUACGUGUGUACAUGUGUGCAUGCGAAUGUGUGCAUAUGUGUGCGUGCGUGUGUGUGUGUGUGUGUGUGUGUGUAGCAGAACGGGAUGCAUUGCAGGUCAGCCAAAGAAAUAAAAUGACUUUGUCUAUCAGUGAUCGGAUGUCACUCAGGAGCUGCCCCCACUUAGGCAGGGAGCACACGCACACUCACACACACACACACACACACACACACACACAAUCAUUGCAAACGCUCUUGUAUCUUGGCCGGUCUCCAUGCUCCUUCCCAGGAUGGUGUCCCAGGUGCAGGGAGCAGGUGGCUCUGUGUCCUCCUGCUGGUCCCUGGGUCCGAGCUGACUGGGGACUGCGGGGUUUGCUCACCAGCUUGCUGCAGGCCCAGUUGAUGUCCAUGCUCAGUGGUCACAGGGUCCAGCCUUUCUCUGCUCCCUUGGGGCCUGGGGACCAUUCUGGUGAUCUCCGUGUCCCCUUUGUCCCAGGGGUUCAGUGUAUGUGUCUGGGCGCCCGCUCCUGCCCCAUCCGGCCCAGGUGGGAUCUCUCCUCCCACGGCGACGGCCCCCCUGGCGUUCGCCCCCAGGGCACACCUCCGGAACUGGGGGAGUCCCAGGGCAAGGUAGCCCUCCCUCUCUGCCUAGCCACACUGGAGCCACAAGGGGUGCUAUACCAGCCUUGGCCUCCAGGUGGCGCUCAGGGGCCGCAUCCCUCAUGCAGGAAAGUAGGGACAUCCAGGGGCAGAGUCCUGACCCUGGGGUCUGUGGCUGGAGGGUCAAGGAGGAAAGACUGGUCCACAACGUCUGCUUUUCUGUCCUCUCCUCUUCCUGCCCAGUCCCCGAGAUAGAAGGCGUGUGGGCUUUAUCUUGCUCUCCUUCCAAAAUUCCCCCUAAACCGCUUCUGCUGCCCCUGCAGCCUCACUGCCGGGACUCAUAGGUCUCCUUUUCACUAGAGCAGAUGCCCCACCUGGUCGGCCGUUCCUCCUCUGGAAGGGGCAGAAUAUUCUGGAGUCGUCUGUCUCCCAAUGCCAUGCUGUCCGCCCUUCCCUUGCUAAGAGCCUGGCUCUGGUCAGGGUCAAACGAGCCGGAUUUUGAGGGGAGACUCACCAUCUGACUGUGAUGGUUGUUUGACAUCAUAGCACCUGGUUCUUGGGCCUGCGGACUGGGGCUGAUUUAUCCCACAGGUUCUCCUGGGUCUCCAGCUGGCAGGUAGUAGAUGGUGGGACUUCUGGUUCUAUAACCCAUGAGCUGAUUCUUAUGAGGCAAGGGAAACCAAAGCAAAAAUGAACUAUUGGGACCUCAUCAAGAUAAAAAGCUUCUGCACAGCAAUGGAAACAAUCAAUAAAA